rnacentral:sRNA from 1 species
UACCAGGUAUAUCAAACUGCUGUUUAUUUUCAUCAAUUUCAUGGAUUUUCAUUAAUUUACAAAAUGCCCGUAAACACUGUGAUGAUGCGGGUGAAAGUAAUUCAUGUACCUGUUUCUUCAAUACCUAAUCCUUUCUUUCAUUUUGGUAAAAAAUAUUUGUAAAUAAAGCAAUACACUGAGUGCAAUUUACCGAUAAUGAAACCAAAGUUGCAUAGACAUCAAGAUCCUUGUGCUUUACUUUCCUUAUUUGUUGCAGAAUAAAAAACAGUGAUACAACACUGCAAUGCAAAAAGCUCAGUGUUGUAGGAUGACGAAAACCCAGAUGAUAGUUGCUAUAAGCAUAGGUAUAUGGUGUAAGAAAGCUUUAUCAUUAUUCCAGAUUCUUUUGUACAAGAAAAUAGUGCAUACGGUUUUAUAUGUUUUUAUUUUAUAAUUAGUUUUUACACAAUAAGAACACCUAACAAUAUUUAGCUUUUAAUUGGUUACUUGCUUUAAAUCAGCCAAAUAAACUAUGAAAAGAUGGUACAAAAUACUUUAAAUUCUUGUUUGUUGUUGUUUUUUUCUUUUUCUUCUCCUAAACUGAUUAACACAAUUUUUUUAACUUUUUUCUACAACAUGUAUUAUAUUUAAUGGGAACAAAACACUCUCCUACUUUUAAUACAAUAACAAACAAUUUUGUCUGAAUGUAAACAGGAAAAGAGUAAGAUAAGAAUGGGUAUUGGCAUAUGCCUGUGCGUUUCAUUUUGUAGUUGAUUUUUGCUCUUCGUUGUACGCCUGUGUUGUGAUUUUUACCCGCAAUUCUGUGAAGUGAAUUGUGUAUUUAUACCUAUACAUGUGUUAUGCCAGUACAGAUUAUGUAUCCUUGAUUUUAUAUGUAUGUAUAUAUAUAUUACAGUUACACAAAACUUGCGGAAAAUGAACUAAAACUACAUGUGUAAUCUGAACAUGUUGUUUACAGCAGUAGGAAAGCAUAAAAGACUACAUGAUGUGAAAAUGUUUACAGUUUUUGUUUGCAUGUAGAAACAAAUCUGUAUGUAGAUUAUGAACAAGUUAUCCUUUAGAACAAGUGUGCAUUAGUUUGAACCUCAGCUAGACAGUAGAUUAAUCUCUGAAUUCGUAACACAUGCUUGCAUCAUUCCAUUGUGUUCAUGUUUAAGUGUAUAUAUAUAUAGAGAGAGAUAUUAUCAAUGUUGAUAUUUAUUUUGUUAUUUCAGAUUUAGUCUUGGCUUUCUUUCUUUUGCACUGUGAGGUCUGUGUUAGCUGUUUCGGGAGACAAUUCUCACCAAUCUGCUCAGUCAUUUUUGUAGUGCAAGCAAUUUUCACUUUUUUUUGUUAUUCUUUUUUAUAUAAAACCCCCCGAUCUAUAAUAGUUUCCUACAAAUUUUCAUUCCGUAGGUUUUUUUGUUUUGUUUAUUGUUUGUUUUACUAGUGUAAGAAUGUUAAAGCAUGGGAAAAAGCAAAACAACAUGUAUGAUUAGAUAUUGUCAUAGUGGAUGUCAUGGUAUGCCUAAUUUGAAGACAAUCAUGAACUGGAUUUUUAAAUAAAGGUUACCCCCUUUAACUCCCUACUCCAAAUGAACAAGUUAGUCAGCAGGUAUUGUUUUCAUUACAAAAAUUUGAUUUGGAAAUUUUGUAAUAUAACUAUGAUAUUUUUUAUAAUUAGAGUUUGCCAUUGUAAUUCAAAUUGUCACUGCUUCAGGAUAAUGCCCUUUCUCUUUUUCUUUUGGAAGGAAUUGCACAAUCAGCUCAUUUCUUGUUCCAAGGGCAAUUUCAGUUUAUGGAUACAUAUAUAUAUACCUCAGUUUUCACCAUCACUAUUCCAUUUUGUCAUUCUCAGUAAACAAGAAGAUAUUCAAUUUCAUGGGCAGUAAACCACCAUUGCAGUGUACAUUGGAUGGUAUAUAAAUUGCUUUUGUCAUAAGUUUGAUUGACCGGCUUUUAAUGUUUUUUUAAAGCAUUUUCUGUCAUACAAAUAACUACACUGAACAUAAAUAUACAGAGUUUCAAUUGUAGAAAUGUAAAGAGAACUUUCAUCUGCUGUUGGUUUUUACUUCUGUUACAGUGGUAUGGCAUCUUUUGUCGUUUUUUUAAAGUUAUAAAUAUUUGUAUCUUCAAUGGUCAGAAUUAUUUAUGUGCAUCAUAACAAACAUGUUGUUUAUGUUUUAUAAAUAUUAAUG